rnacentral:rRNA from 1 species
CGACCGGCGCACGGGUGAGUAACACGUAUGCAACCUGGCCGCCACAGGGGGAUAACCCGCGGAAACGCGGCCUAAUACCCCGUGACGCCACCGGAGGGCAUCCUCCGGUGGCCAAAGGAGCGAUCCGGUGGCGGAUGGGCAUGCGGCGCAUUAGCUAGACGGCGGGGUGACGGCCCACCGUGGCGACGAUGCGUAGGGGUUCUGAGAGGAAGGCCCCCCACACUGGGACUGAGACACGGCCCAGACUCCUACGGAAGGCAGCAG